GACCAUUGAAAUCUGGUGUUUGGAGUAGGAGUUGAACCAGUGACCUUUGGACCACAGCGUUUCAGGAACUUCUUUCAGUCAUGUGCUCUACCAACUGAGCUAUGAAGGUGCUUAUAGAUAAAAACGCAGAAAACAUAGUGGCUUCGGCGACACACUUUGCCAAAACAACAAUCAAGCCACCUGGUCAAUGAAAAAGGAUGAACAGUGCAUAUACAAAUGAAAUCUGGUGUUUGGAGCAGGAGUUGAACCAGCGUCAUUGGACCACAGCGUUUCAGGAACUUCUUAAAGUCAUGUGCUCUACCAACUGAGCUAUGAAGGUGCUUAUAGAUAAAAACGCAGAAAACAUAGUGGCUUCGGCGACACACUUUGCCAACAUAACUAUUGAACCAACAUGGUCAAUGAAAAAGGUUGAACAGUGCAUACACCAAUGAAAUCUGGUGUUUGGAGCUGGAGUUGAACCAGCGACCUUUGGACCACAGCGUUUCAGGAACUUCUUAAAGUCAUGUGCUCUACCAACUGAGCUAUGAAGGUGCUUAUAGAUAAAAACGCAGAAAACAUAGUGGCUUGGGCGACACACUUUGCCAAAACAACAAUCAAGCCACCUGGUCAAUGAAAAAGGAUGAACAGUGCAUAUACAAAUGAAAUCCGGUGCUUGGAGCUGGAGUUGAACCAGCGACCUUUGGACCACAGCAUUUCAGGAACUUCUUAAAGUCAUGUGCUCUACCAACUGAGCUAUGAAGGUGCUUAUAGAUAAAAACGCAGAAAACAUAGUGGCUUCGGCGACACACUUUGCCAACAUAACUAUUGAACCAACAUGGUCAAUGAAAAAGGUUGAACAGUGCAUACACCAAUGAAAUCUGGUGUUUGGAGCUGGAGUUGAACCAGCGUCCUUUGGACCACAGCGUUUCAGGAACUUCUUAAAGUCAUGUGCUCUACCAACUGAGCUAUGAAGGUGCUUAUAGAUAAAAACGCAGAAAACAUAGUGGCUUCGGCGACACACUUUGCCAAAACAACAAUCAAGCCACCUGGUCAAUGAAAAAGGAUGAACAGUGCAUAUACAAAUGAAAUCCGGUGUUUGGAGCUGGAGUUGAACCAGCGACCUUUGGACCACAGCAUUUCAGGAACUUCUUAAAGUCAUGUGCUCUACCAACUGAGCUAUGAAGGUGCUUAUAGAUAAAAACGCAGAAAACAUAGUGGCUUCGGCGACACACUUUGCCAACAUAACUAUUGAACCAACAUGGUCAAUGAAAAAGGUUGAACAGUGCAUAGACCAAUGAAAUCUGGUGUUUGGAGCAGGAGUUGAACCAGCGACCUUUGGACCACAGCGUUUCAGGAACUUCUUAAAGUCAUGUGCUCUACCAACUGAGCUAUGAAGGUGCUUAUAGAUAAAAACGCAGAAAACAUAGUGGCUUCGGCGACACACUUUGCCAACACAACAAUGAAGCAAACUGGUCAAUGAAAAAGGAUGAACAGUGCAUAUACAAAUGAAAUCUGGUGUUUGGAGCUGGAGUUGAACCAGCGACCUUUGGACCACAGCGUUUCAGGAACUUCUUAAAGUCAUGUGCUCUACCAACUGAGCUAUGAAGGUGCUUAUAGAUGAAAACGCAGAAAACAUAGUGGCUUCGGCGACACACUUUGCCAACACAACAAUCAAGCCACCUGGUCAAUGAAAAAGGUUGAACAGUGCAUAGACCAAUGAAAUCUGGUGUUUGGAGCAGGAGUUGAACCAGCGACCUUUGAACCAGAGCGUUUCUAGAACUUCUUAAAGUCAUGUGCUCUACCAAAUGAGCUAUGAAGGUGCUUAUAGAUAAAAACGCAGAAAACAUAGUGGCUUCGGCGACACACUUUGCCAAAACAACAAUCAAGCCACCUGGUCAAUGAAAAAGGAUGAACAGUGCAUAUACAAAUGAAAUCUGUUGCUUGGAGCUGGAGUUGAACCAGCGACCUUUGGACCACAGCGUUUCAGGAACUUCUUAAAGUCAUGUGCUCUACCAACUGAGCUAUGAAGGUGCUUAUAGAUAAAAACGCAGAAAACAUAGUGGCUUCGGCGACACACUUUGCCAAAACAACAAUCAAGCCACCUGGUCAAUGAAAAAGGUUGAACAGUGCAUAGAACAUUGAAAUCUGGUGUUUGGAGUAGGAGUUGAACCAGCGACCUUUGGACCACAGCGUUUCGGGAACUUCUUACAGUCAUGUGCUCUACCAACUGAGCUAUGAAGGUGCUUAUAGAUAAAAACGCAGAAAACAUAGUGGCUUCGGCGACACACUUUGCCAAAACAACAAUCAAGCCACCUGGUCAAUGAAAAAGGAUGAACAGUGCAUAUACAAAUGAAAUCUGGUGUUUGGAGCAGGAGUUGAACCAGCGACCUUUGGACCACAGCGUUUCAGGAACUUC